rnacentral:rRNA from 1 species
CUGAGAAGAGUGGACGUUACUCGCAGAAUAAGCACCGGCUAACUCUGUGCCAGCAGCCGCGGUAAUACAGAGGGUGCGAGCGUUAAUCGGAUUUACUGGGCGUAAAGCGCGCGUAGGUGGCUAAUUAAGUCAAAUGUGAAAUCCCCGAGCUUAACUUGGGAAUUGCAUUCGAUACUGGUUGGCUAGAGUAUGGGAGAGGAUGGUAGAAUUCCAGGUGUAGCGGUGAAAUGCGUAGAGAUCUGGAGGAAUACCGAUGGCGAAGGCAGCCAUCUGGCCUAAUACUGACACUGAGGUGCGAAAGCAUGGGGAGCAAACAGGAUUAGAUACCCUGGUAGUCCAUGCCGUAAACGAUGUCUACUAGCCGUUGGGGGAUUUGAUCCUUUAGUGGCGCAGCUAACGCGAUAAGUAGACCGCCUGGGGAGUACGGUCGCAAGACUAAAACUCAAAUGAAUUGACGGGGGCCCGCACAAGCGGUGGAGCAUGUGGUUUAAUUCGAUGCAACGCGAAGAACCUUACCUGGCCUUGACAUAGUAGAAACUUUCCAGAGAUGGAUUGGUGCCUUCGGGAAUCUACAUACAGGUGCUGCAUGGCUGUCGUCAGCUCGUGUCGUGAGAUGUUGGGUUAAGUCCCGCAACGAGCGCAACCCUUUUCCUUACUUGCCAGCAUUUCGGAUGGGAACUUUAAGGAUACUGCCAGUGACAAACUGGAGGAAGGCGGGGACGACGUCAAGUCAUCAUGGCCCUUACGGCCAGGGCUACACACGUGCUACAAUGGUCGGUACAAAGGGUUGCUACACAGCGAUGUGAUGCUAAUCUCAAAAAGCCGAUCGUAGUCCGGAUCGCAGUCUGCAACUCGACUGCGUGAAGUCGGAAUCGCUAGUAAUCGCGGAUCAGAAUGCCGACAGGUGAAUACGUUCCCGGGCCUUGUACACACCGCGCC